GGGCAUGUAGCGAAGUGGUUAAACGCAACAAUCGCUCAAGUUGUGAGCCUUAAUCUGUCGACUAUGUCUUCGGAGGUUCGAAUCCUCCCAUGCCCA
rnacentral:tRNA from 1 species